rnacentral:rRNA from 1 species
UACGUAGGGCGCAAGCGUUAUCCGGAAUUAUUGGGCGUAAAGAGCUCGUAGGCGGUGUGUCGCGUCGUCCGUGAAACUUGGGCUCAACCCCAAGCUUGCGGCGAUACGGGCAGACUUGAGUACUGCAGGGGAGACUGGAAUUCCUGGUGUAGCGGUGAAAUGCGCAGAUAUCAGGAGGAACACCGGUGGCGAAGGCGGUCUCUGGGCAGUAACUGACGCUGAGGAGCGAAAGCGUGGGUAGCAAACAGG